GACGAACGCUGGCGGCGCGCUUAACACAUGCAAGUCGAGCGAGAACCAUGCCUUCGGGCAUGGGGACAGCGGCGAACGGGCGAGUAACACGUGGGUAAUCUGCCCUUGACAUCGGGAUAGCCCGGGGAAACCCGGAUUAAUACCGAAUAGCCUCCGAAGCCCUCGGGCGUCGGAGAAAAGGUAGCUUCGGCCUCUGGUCAAGGAUGAGCCCGCGGCGGAUUAGCUUGUUGGCGGGGUAACGGCCCACCAAGGCGACGAUCCGUAGCUGGUCUGAGAGGACGAUCAGCCACACUGGGACUGAGACACGGCCCAGACUCCUACGGGAGGCAGCAGUGGGGAAUCUUGCGCAAAUGCGGGAAACCGUGACGCAGCGACGCCGCGUGGGGGAAGAAGGCCUUCGGGUUGUAAACCUCUUUCAGGAGGGACGAAGCCACUCGGGUUAAUAGCCCAGAGGGUGACGGUACCUCCAGAAGAAGCCCCGGCUAACUACGUGCCAGCCGCCGCUGUAAUAC
rnacentral:rRNA from 1 species